UACGAAGGGGGCUAGCGUUGCUCGGAAUGACUGGGCGUAAAGGGCGCGUAGGCGGAUGGUACAGUCAGAUGUGAAAUUCCCGGGCUUAACCUGGGGGCUGCAUUUGAUACGUGCGAUCUGGAGUGAGGAAGAGGGUCGUGGAAUUCCCAGUGUAGAGGUGAAAUUCGUAGAUACUGGGAAGAACACCGGUGGCGAAGGCGGCGACCUGGUCCUUUACUGACGCUGAGGCGCGAAAGCGUGGGGAGCAAACAGG
rnacentral:rRNA from 1 species